CUCAAAAACAUUGUGUAUGUUUUAACCUACCUUAACCACAAACUCACUGACGCAUUGUUUCAAAAACAGACCAAAAAAUCUCUUCUUUUACCAACGAUUUUAUCGAUUUCAAGCAAACACAAAAUCGCGUGCAAAGUUCAGAAUAUUUUAACAUGUGCAUAAAAGGUUCUUAAUCACAGUGUGUGCAUAUUAAACGUUGCGCAAUAAGUCAAUAGACCAUAAAAAUAUCGAGAUUGUGAAAUAGGAUUAUAAAAUGAUGAAUUAACGUGACA